CCUACGGGGGGCUGCAGUGAGGAAUCUUCCACAAUGGGCGAAAGCCUGAUGGAGCGACACCGCGUGAAGGAUGAAGGCCUAACGGUUGUAAACUUCUUUUCUGAAGGAGCAUAAUGAGAGUACUUCAGGAAUAAGGGACGGCUAAAUACGUGCCAGCAGCCGCGGUAAUACGUAUGUCUCGAGCGUUACCCGGAAUCACUGGGUGUAAAGGGUUUGUAGGCGGCUUGUUAAGUUGGAUAUGAAAGACCGGAGCUCAACUCCGAGUUUGUGUUCAAAACUGGCAAGCUAGAAUCAAGGAGAGGUAAGCGGAAUUCUAAGUGUAGGGGUGCAAUCCGUAGAUACUUAGAGGAACACCAAAAGCGAAGGCAGCUUACUGGAAUUGUAUUGACGCUGAGGAACGAAAGCGUGGGGAGCGAAAAGGAUUAGAUACCCCGGUAGUC
rnacentral:rRNA from 1 species